rnacentral:rRNA from 1 species
UAGGGAAUCUUCGGCAAUGGGGGGAACCCUGACCGAGCAACGCCGCGUGAGUGAAGAAGGUUUUCGGAUCGUAAAGCUCUGUUGUUAAGGAAGAACGAGUGUGAGAAUGGAAAGUUCAUGCUGUGACGGUACUUAACCAGAAAGGGACGGCUAACUACGUGCCAGCAGCCGCGGUAAUACGUAGGGCGCAAGCGUUAUCCGGAAUUAUUGGGCGUAAAGAGCUUGUAGGCGGUUCGUCGCGUCUGGUGUGAAAGCCCAUCGCUUAACGGUGGGUUUGCGCCGGGUACGGGCGGGCUAGAGUGCAGUAGGGGAGACUGGAAUUCCCGGUGUAACGGUGGAAUGUGUAGAUAUCGGGAAGAACACCAAUGGCGAAGGCAGUUCUCUGGGCUGUUACUGACGCUGAGAAGCGAAAGCGUAGGGAGCGAACAGG